CCAGAAUUAUGGCCAGUACGGAAUGCAAGCUGCUGCGUGCUGUUUUUGUUCUGAAGCAGAAUGAACAGGUAACUCCGGCCGGAAUGGAAGGGGUUAAAUAGGAUAUUGCAGAGCGCAUGAAGAUGGUGCAGUCUGAGGGUAGGACCAUCUACGUAAUACGGAUAAGUAAUAGCCGGCCAAACCUAAGAAGCUGCGGACUUCUUUGACUGAUUGCGGAGAAGACCAGUUGGCAAUGUUCUUAAUUUUGUGGGUUUCAGUGGCAACCCCAUGCUGGCUGAUAGUAUGGCCCAAAUAGGAUAACUGGCGUUGAGCGAAAGAGCAUAGACGGG